AGGAAAGCGGCGGCGGUGGCGGCUUCAACAGCAGCUCUUGCCCUUAAGGAACAAUGAAACACAAAGAUGGUGCAGACCCAGGCCCUGCUUUGACUGGGAGAAAGAUGCAUUCAGUUGACUAAAACUUGAACAGGGCAGUUUACUUCUAUAGAAGGGUGCACCCUCACAGAUGGACCAAUGUGUCAGGAGAAUUCAGUCACACCCAAAGCAGGAGGUAAUAAGACACCGAAGUGAGGACUUCACAGGCUGCUUGGGAGAAGACAAUCAUCCGUGGGCUUGGGAAAGGGAGAAAUGCCUACUGAGUUUAGGGAAUUGCUUGCUGGAAGAAAUGAUGAUGCGGGAGGCCAGAUGCGCAAGAUGGACACUCGGCUCCUCCUUCGUCCCCGCCUCUCCUCGCUUCCAGGGUAGCAGCCUCAACAAGGGAAACUAUUGUUCCAGUGGAGGCUGCGAGGAUGUCGGUGAUUUACGCGCCGAGCUGUAGCUGCAAAAGGACAAGGGCAAGUGCCGGCCCGACCUAGGGCCCACCGGUCUCUGGCUUGCUCUUGUGAGUAGGUGCACCCUGCCCGCUUGUGGUGGCCUCAGGGGUAAGAAAUCAGGACCCACCCAGUGAGAGAAAUAACCCAAGCUGUCAGCAACGCGGAAAGAAAUGGGCUAGCAACCUCUUAAAGCAUCCUCACGUACUGCGGCGAUGACUCUGUGCACAGACCAAGGAAGGAGAGAGGCCGCGGAAGUCAGCCACAGCAUGUUCCGAAGAGAUGAUUGGAAGAUGGAAGUGGAGGGUUAAAUAAUGAAAUGCAGCUAACAUUUCGGAAAGUUUCUAAAAGUUGUACAACAUGCCCUACAGCUACUCUUUAAAUCUCCAAAUCAAAUGAGUUUCAGGUGGAGCCUCUGGGAGGUGAUGAGGUCAUGAGAGUGGAGCCUCAUGAAUGGGAUGAGCACUCCUACAAAAAGGAUUCCAGAGAGCUCGCUUGCUCCUUCCACAGUGUGAGGACACAGAGGGAAGGCUCUGUCUAUGAAUGAGAAAGUGGGUCCCCACCAGACAUUGAAUCUGCCGCAUCUUGAUACUGGACUUCCAGUCUCCAGAACUGUGGGCAAUAAAUGUCUGUUGUUUAUUACCUGUCCAGUAUCUUUGGUAUUUUGCUAUAGCAACCCAAAUGGACUAAGAAAACACCAGAGGCCAUACCUAAUAAAAAUAUUGACAUCACAAU
rnacentral:lncRNA from 1 species